rnacentral:tRNA from 1 species
GGCAGUGUGGCUCAAUGGAUAAGGGCCCUAGAUUGGGAAUCAGGAGACCUGGUUCGUAUUCCCAGCUCUGCCC